ensembl:lncRNA PCBP1-AS1 PCBP1 antisense RNA 1
CGACACGUGGUUAGCAUUCGUCGCCAACGAGAAAUUGGGGUCGGCCCGAAAGCUCUAGAAUGCACCCCUCUUCCUCCCCGGGGCCUUCCACCUCCGCGAGUUUUAUGACUUAAAAAAGCCCACAGGCUGGUCUGAAGAGGAAGACAAACAUAAAGAUGAAGUGCUUAAUUCAAGGUCACACAAUGUCGGGGAUGGACCUCCAGAUUUCCUUACUGGUGAGACGUGGUCUUGUAACACAGUGGUUAAGAAUGUGACUUUGGAGCCAGCCUGCUAGGGGCUGAAUUCUGACUCAGCCAUUUACUAACUGUGUGACCUUAGGGAGGAGGACCUGGUUGAUAGAAGAAUUUAUCUCGUAGUCUUAACAUCCACUGUAAUUCCAAACUUUGAGGACGAUAGAGAUCAGUGGGCUUUGACUGCCCAGCAUGCAGUCUCCAUUCUUAGGUCACAGAAUUUUCCACACUCCUUGACAGAGGUGCUUAACCCUUAUCCAUCAGCAUUCUCAGACAGCACCUCCGGUUAGGGACAGUAUCUGACCGUCCGACAUCCCUGCAGCCCCCAUGUGUCACACAGACUCAGCCUCAGGUAGAUGGUUUCCGUAGAUGGUGGCUUUCUUUGGACCCUUGACAUCAACCAGUUACUAUUUGCCCCGCAGUGGCUCACGCCUGUAAUCCCAGCACUUUGGGAGGCCGAGGUGGGCGGAUUGCCUGAGGUCGGGAGUUCAAGACCAGCCUGGCCAACAUGGUGAAACCCCUCUCUACUAAAAAUACAAAAUUAGCCAGGUCUGGUGGUGCAUACCUGUAAUCCCAGCUACUCGGGAGACUGAGGCAGGAGAAUCGCUUGAACCCGGGAGGCGAAGAUUGUGGUGAGCCGAGAUUGGGCCAUUGCACUCCAGCCUGGGCAACGAGAGUGAGACUCCAUCUCAAAAAAAUAACAAAUAAAGCCCCUGAAGGGAGGCUUCUCUGGGCUGCAGGUGACCCAGCCCCCAGAGGAACAAUAAAUGACUUUGGGGUAACAAAGUCAUGACUCAAAGUAGUCUUGUCAGGGUGGAAAAAAGAAGACAUUUUACAAGGGAAAAUGUAACAUUUUAUAUUUGGGUUCACUAAAAUGAUUCGUUCAAAUACAUAGUGGAGGAGCGUGGGGGCCCAAGGGGACUGGUUUUCCAUGGGUUCCUUAUGGACCAAGAGUGUGAAGAUCAGGAGAGCCCCCACACAUGGGAGGCAAGGACCUAGCACAGGGAGGGCCGCAGCCUUUCUCCAUCCCCGCUUCUUGGGCCAACUGCCCGUGUGUGGGGUGCAGCUCUCAGAUCCCAGCCAAGUAGGAAUUCCCCAGGCAGGUCACCAAGAGGAAGGGGGUGUGGGGGCAGAGCAGUGGUGACGAUGCAGGGGCUGUUAGCCAGAGGAGAGGUGAAUUUAUAUAGCUGAAAAGCCACCAAAGAUGAGAGAGGGACCGUUCUUUAUGUCCAGCAGGCCACGUUUGAGGAGGCUGGCUGGGGUCCCAUCUGAGAUGAGUGCCGGUGUGGUGCGGAGUUCCCUGCCAAAGGAGGGUCUACACAGUCUCAAGAUGGCCUCUCUGCCAGGGUACACCUCAGAAGGGAUCUUAGAGGCUGCGUAUGAAGGUGGCCCGAGGGCGCCUAAUGUCCCUUCCCAAGAAGUUGAUGAUUACCAUGGAUGAGGAGUCAGUAGGAGAGAAAGUGUCCUUGUCCAGGCAGCUGGGAGGAGUGGUUAAAAGGGAGGCCAGGUGUGGUGGCUCACACCUGUAAUCCCUGCACUUUGGGAGGCCAAGGCAGGGAGAUGGCUUGAGUCCAGGACUUAGAGACCAGCCUGGGCAACAUAGUAAGACCUCAUCUCCACAAAACAUUUUUUAAAAAAUUAGCGAAGUGUGGCAGGAGGCUCAGGUGGGAGGAUCACAUGAGCCCUAGAUGUCGAGGCUACAGUAAGCCCUGAUCACACAACUGCACUCCAGCCUGGGCCGCAGAGUGAGACCCUGUCUACAUAAAUGAACAGGCUGGGCACAGUGGCUCAUGCCUGUAAUCCAAGCACUUUGGGAGGCUGAGGUGGGAGGAUCAUUUGAGGUCAGG